rnacentral:rRNA from 1 species
CCUACGGGUGGCAGCAGUGAGGAAUAUUGGUCAAUGGACGAGAGUCUGAACCAGCCAAGUAGCGUGAAGGAUGACUGCCCUAUGGGUUGUAAACUUCUUUUAUAUGGGAAUAAAAUGUUCCACGUGUGGGAUUUUGUAUGUACCAUAUGAAUAAGGAUCGGCUAACUCCGUGCCAGCAGCCGCGGUAAUCCGGAGGAUCCGAGCGUUAUCCGGAUUUAUUGGGUUUAAAGGGAGCGUAGGUGGAUUGUUAAGUCAGUUGUGAAAGUUUGCGGCUCAACCGUAAAAUUGCAGUUGAAACUGGCAGUCUUGAGGACAGUAGAGGUGGGCGGAAUGCGUGGUGUAGCGGUGAAAUGCUUAGAUAUCACGAAGAACUCCGAUUGCGAAGGCAGUUCACUGGACUGCAACUGACACUGAGGCUCGAAAGUGUGGGUAUCAAACAGGAUUAGAUACCCGGGUAGUC